rnacentral:rRNA from 1 species
UUGCCCCAGUAACGGCGAGUGAAGCGGCAACAGCUCAAAUUUGAAAUCUGGCCCUCGGGUCCGAGUUGUAAUUUGUAGAGGAUGCUUUUGGCGCGGUGCCUUCCGAGUUCCCUGGAACGGGACGCCUUAGAGGGUGAGAGCCCCGUACGGUUGGACACCAAGCCUCUGUAAAGCUCCUUCGACGAGUCGAGUAGUUUGGGAAUGCUGCUCUAAAUGGGAGGUAAAUUUCUUCUAAAGCUAAAUAUUGGCCAGAGACCGAUAGCGCACAAGUAGAGUGAUCGAAAGAUGAAAAGCACUUUGAAAAGAGGGUUAAACAGCACGUGAAAUUGUUGAAAGGGAAGCGUUUGCGACCAGACCUCGCCCCGGCGGAUCAUCCGGCGUUCUCGCCGGUGCACUCCGCCGGGCUGAGGCCAGCAUCGGUUUCCGCGGGGGGACAAAAGCGGGGGGAACGUAGCUCCCUCGGGAGUGUUAUAGCCCUCCGCAUAAUACCCUCGCGGGGACCGAGGACCGCGCUUCGGCAAGGAUGCUGGCGUAAUGGUCGUCAACGACCCG